rnacentral:rRNA from 1 species
GGCUAACGCUGGCGGCGCGCCUAACACAUGCAAGUCGAACGAGCCUUUUCGAAGUUUACUUUGGAAAUGUGCUAGUGGCAGACGGGUGAGUAACGCGUGAACAAUGUGCCUUCUUUCUGGGGAUACCGUUUGGAAACGAACGUUAAUACCGAAUGUGCUCUUAGUGCGGCAUCGUGCUUAGAGUAAACUGUUAGGGAGAGUAGAGCAGUUCGCGUUCUAUCAGCUAGAUGGUGGGGUAACGGCCUACCAUGGCUACGACGGAUAGCUGGUCUGAGAGGAUGAUCAGCCACACUGGGACUGAGACACGGCCCAG